UACGUAGGGUGCAAGCGUUAAUCGGAAUUAUUGGGCGUAAAGAGCGUGUAGGCGGCCCGAUUAGUCCGCUGUGAAAGUCCAGGGCUCAACCCUGGAAUGCCGGUGGAUACUGUCGGGCUAGAGUCCGGAAGGGGCGAGUGGAAUUCCUGGUGUAGCGGUGAAAUGCGCAGAUAUCAGGAGGAACACCAAUGGCGAAGGCAGCUCGCUGGGACGUGUCUGACGCUGAGACGCGAAAGCGUGGGGAGCAAACAGG
rnacentral:rRNA from 1 species